rnacentral:rRNA from 1 species
AGAGUUUGAUCCUGGCUCAGAGCGAACGUUAGCGGCGCGCCUAACACAUGCAAGUCGCACGAGAGGGGGUAACCCCGAAAGUGGCGCACGGGUGCGUAACACGUAGAUAAUCUGCCCUUCAAAGGGGGAUAACGUUCCGAAAGGAGCGCUAAUACCGCAUAAAGCCGAGUCGGGUUCGCCUGAUUCGGACAAAGGCUGGGACCGCAAGGCCAGUCGUUGAAGGAGGAGUCUGCGGCCCAUCAGCUAGUUGGUAAGGUAAUGGCUUACCAAGGCAAAGACGGGUAGCUGGUCUGAGAGGAUGAUCAGCCACACUGGUACUGGAACACGGACCAGACUCCUACGGGAGGCAGCAGUGGGGAAUCUUGGUCAAUGGGCGCAAGCCUGAACCAGCGACGCCGCGUGAGUGAUGAAGGCCUUCGGGUUGUAAAGCUCUGUGGGGAGGGACGAAAGACUGAGGUCUAAUAGGCUUCAGGUUGACGGUACCUCCUUAGCAAGCACCGGCUAACUCUGUGCCAGCAGCCGCGGUAAGACAGAGGGUGCAAACGUUGCUCGGAAUCACUGGGCGUAAAGGGCGUGUAGGCGGGAAGGAAAGUCAGAUGUGAAAUCCCCAGGCUCAACCUGGGAACUGCAUUUGAAACUCCCUUUCUUGAGUACCGGAGAGGAAAGUGGAAUUCCUGGUGUAGAGGUGAAAUUCGUAGAUAUCAGGAGGAACACCAGUGGCGAAGGCGGCUUUCUGGACGGUAACUGACGCUGAGACGCGAAAGCGUGGGGAGCAAACAGGAUUAGAUACCCUGGUAGUCCACGCUGUAAACGAUGAGUGCUAGGUGUCGUGGGUAUUGACCCCCGCGGUGCCGUAGCUAACGCAUUAAGCACUCCGCCUGGGAAGUACGGUCGCAAGACUAAAACUUAAA